rnacentral:rRNA from 1 species
UAGCCCUUCAGAGGGGGACAACAGUUGGAAACGACUGCUAAUACCGCAUACGAUCCAAUCUCGGCAUCGAGACUGGAUGAAAGGUGGCCUCUAUUUAUAAGCUAUCACUGAAGGAGGGGAUUGCGUCUGAUUAGCUAGUUGGAGGGGUAACGGCCCACCAAGGCGAUGAUCAGUAGCCGGUCUGAGAGGAUGAACGGCCACAUUGGGACUGAGACACGGCCCAGACUCCUACGGGAGGCAGCAUG